rnacentral:rRNA from 1 species
AUUGAACGCUGGCGGCAGGCCUAACACAUGCAAGUCGAGCGAGCGGCGGACGGGUGAGUAAUGUAUGGGGACUGCCCGAUAGAGGGGGGUAACUACUGGAAACGGUGGCUAAUACCGCAUACUGUCGGAUGUCCCAUAUGGGAUUAGCUCGUAGGUAAGGUAAUGGCUUACCUAGGCGACGAGCCCUAGCUGGUCUGCGAGGAUGAGCAGCCACACUGGGACUGAGACACGGCCCAGACUCCUACGGAGGCAGCAGUGGGGAAUAUUGCACAAUGGGCGCAAGCCGGAUGCAGCCAUGCCGCGUGUAUGAAGAAGGCCCUAGGGUUGAAAAGUACUUUCAGUCGGGAGGCGGUACCGAAAGAAGAAGCACCGGCUAACUCCGUGCCAGCAGCCGCGGUAAUUC